AGUCAGAUAGUUGAUACAAAGACCUUUGAUUUUUCAAACUGAUGGAUCAAAAAGUUAUUAUAAACAGAUAUAUUGAAAUGGCUGACUCAAAAUCAUGCUGUUAAUUAGUGCCUCCUGUUGUACAUGUACUUAGGAAUCGGACACCUCCAGAAGAUGAAAGAUCUACUUUACAUCUUUUUCAACGAAAGUACAAUUACUUUGAGAAGUAGGAGAAGCUAAGCAACAGGACAGAAUUCAUUUGAGGCAUUGCUUUCUAGAUUAUAUAGUGGAGUCAUAGAUUGUCCUAUUGAUUUAUGUGGAUAUGAGGAGCAGUAGUCAAUGAAUAAUUUUGUGAUGAGAGCUGUACAUUGUAUUACAACAAAUGGACAGAGGAGUUGACUAUUGAUAGUGACUGAUAAUGGACUGGAGUAACCUAGGGUCCAAUGACUCCAUGCCUGACAGUCCAUGUGUACAUAAUUAGCUCCUCAGAUGUAAGUGGAAGGGAAGCUAUAUACAUUAUAUGUUUAAAUGAAAUUAACAACAGGAUUAGAUAUUGAGGAGAUCCUAUAGCUACAGUAUAUAUAAAUGUAACUGCAACUGUAUUCCAAGAGUCUGAUGGCUGAUAAUGUAUUACAGGAUUUUAUCAUUCAAGCAACAUCUAAGAAGGAUAAGUGCAAAUGUAUGAAGGAAGCCUUGGGUACAAAUAGCAAUUACAGCAAUUACAUGCAGGAGAGAUCUCUUAAUAUUACUAACAGACAUGUAGUCAUUAUAUGGGAGUGGUGUAUUCAAGAAAUCUAAAACACAUGGAAUUUAAUAUCGUGUAUAUUUUUUCAACCACAAGUACUCUCAGAAUAUAAUACAAUUCAAAUUCAAAUUAUUGUGCCAUCAUGACAAUUACAGUCUA